rnacentral:tRNA from 1 species
GAGGGUGUAGCAUAGUUAUAUAAUGUAUCUCACUUACAUUGAGAUGAUUUACCGUAAGUGGUAGGGCUCUUU